rnacentral:rRNA from 1 species
GACGAACGCUGGCGGCGUGCUUAACACAUGCAAGUCGAACGGAAAGGCCCUGCUUUUGUGGGGUGCUCGAGUGGCGAACGGGUGAGUAACACGUGAGUAACCUGCCCUUGACUGUGGGAUAACUUCAGGAAACUGGGGCUAAUACCGGAUAGGAUCUCCUGCUGCAUGGGGGGGGUUGGAAAGUUUCGGCGGGUGGGGAUGGACUCGCGGCUUAUCAGCUUGUUGGUGGGGUAGUGGCUUACCAAGGCUUUGACGGGUAGCCGGCCUGAGAGGGUGACCGGCCACAUUGGGACUGAGAUACGGCCCAGACUCCUACGGGAGGCAGCAGUGGGGAAUAUUGCACAAUGGGCGGAAGCCUGAUGCAGCAACGCCGCGUGCGGGAUGACGGCCUUCGGGUUGUAAACCGCUUUCGCCUGUGACGAAGCGUGAGUGACGGUAAUGGGUAAAGAAGCACCGGCUAACUACGUG